AUGAAUCCGUUGACUCUCUCUCUCUCUUUUAUAUUCUUCAUUGUCAUAGAUCCCCCAAAGAGUGAUAACUCACCCCUAUUAGCACUAUUUUGUAAUUACUGUUAUUGCUUUUAAAUGUAUCAAAUAACAAGUUGAAGUCUCUUUCGGAAUCAAUUGGGAGUUGUUUCUCUCUUGAAGAAUUACAAGCAAAUAGUGGGGAUUCAAUCAGAUGCAGUGGAUAUUAGUGCAGCUACUUGAACGUGAAAGGUAGGGUCCAAGGAAAUUGAUGAAAAGGCUGAUGAGGUCCUAAAGUGGGAUAUUUUGGAUUGUUGGACGCCAGAAAAUCACUACGGAUGGACUGAAUCUGAGUGUUAAACAUGUUGGGUUUAGACCAUCGGUAAUGAUUUUCUGGAGUCCAACAAUCCAGAAUAUCCCACUUUUGAACCUCAUCAGCCUUUUCAUCAGUUUCCUUGGAUCCUACCAAUCAUG